rnacentral:rRNA from 1 species
AUGUCGGCUACUUCGGGACCUAAUGGUUUUUCUAUUCCAUUUUUCAAAAAAUUCUGGCCUCAGCUGUGGGGGCACAUUUGUAAGAUUAUCCAAGGGUUCUGUUUGGGAACGGUGGACAUUUCUAGACUUAACUAUGCUGUCAUAACUCUCAUUCAUAAGGUUAAAGGUGCGGAUCUAAUCUCGCAGUUUCGGCCUGUUGCUCUUAUUAAUAACUUCGCUAAACUUCCUGCUAAAGGGUUCGCCACUCGUCUUUCCCCCAUUGCUCAUCGCACCAUUAGUCCUUUCCAAUCUGCCUUUAUCAAAGGAUGAUUCAUUCUGGAUGGGAUCCUUUGCCUCCAUGAAAUAGUGCAUGAUCUCAAAAUUCAUAAAUCUAAAGCCGUGUUCUUAAAACUUGAUUUUGAGAAAUCUUAUGAGUCGGUGAGCUGGCCUUUUCUGAGAAAGGUCCUCUUGGCUAAAGGGUUUGAAGGCUCAUUUGUCCAUAGAAUUAUGCAGAUGGUCUCGGGGGGCCAUACUGCAAUCUCUGUCAAUGACCAAGUCAGUAAGUUUUUUGUCAAUGGUAGGGGCCUUAGACAAGGUUACCCGGUCUCUCUAAUCCUGUUUAACUUCAUUGCAGACGCUCUAUCGCGUAUUCUGUCCAAAGCUGCCAACCAUGGGCAUAUUUCUCCGGUUAUUUCUAAUCUUGUUCCUGAAGGGUAA